CCUACGGAAGGCAGCAGUGGGGAAUAUUGGACAAUGGGCGAAAGCCUGAUCCAGCAAUGCCGCGUGAGUGAUGAAGGCCUUAGGGUUGUAAAGCUCUUUUACCAGGGAUGAUAAUGACAGUACCUGGAGAAUAAGCUCCGGCUAACUCCGUGCCAGCAGCCGCGGUAAUACGGAGGGAGCUAGCGUUGUUCGGAAUUACUGGGCGUAAAGCGUACGUAGGCGGUUAUUCAAGUCAGAGGUGAAAGCCUGGAGCUCAACUCCAGAACUGCCUUUGAAACUAGAUAGCUAGAAUCUUGGAGAGGUGAGUGGAAUUCCGAGUGUAGAGGUGAAAUUCGUAGAUAUUCGGAAGAACACCAGUGGCGAAGGCGACUCACUGGACAAGUAUUGACGCUGAGGUACGAAAGCGUGGGGAGCAAACAGGAUUAGAUACCCUGGUAGUCCACGCCGUAAACGAUGAUAACUAGCUGUUCGGGCUCUACGAGCUUGAGUGGCGCAGCUAACGCAUUAAGUUAUCCGCCUGGGGAGUACGGUCGCAAGAUUAAACUCAAAGGAAUUGACGG
rnacentral:rRNA from 1 species